AGGAAAAGUGAGCAGCUUUAAAAAGGAAAAAAGGAAGCAGCUAAAAGUUAAAAAAGGAGGCAUGCAAAAUCAUAUCUCCUCUCUUUCUACUGCCUACAAAAGGAACCAGAUCGACAACGUUAAAAGGGGAGCAAAGGUGAACCCAUAUAUGGUGGGGAGCUGAUGUGAACCCAAAUCUGGUGGGGGAAAAGCUGAAACAGAAAGCAAAAGUGGGCUUGGAGCUGAGCAGCGGAGGAA
rnacentral:lncRNA from 1 species